rfam:Nematocida parisii ERTm3 unplaced genomic scaffold supercont1.1, whole genome shotgun sequence.
GGGCUUGUAGCUCAGUGGUAGAGCAUUCGACUGCAGAUCGGAUUGUCCCGGGUUCAAAUCCCGGCGAGCCCU